GACGAACGCUGGCGGCGUGCUUAACACAUGCAAGUCGAACGGUGAAGCGCCUUCCUUUUUGGUGGGUGUGGAUGAGUGGCGAACGGGUGAGUAGCACGUGAGUAACCUGCCCCCUUCUUCUGGAUAACCGCAUGAAAGUGUGGCUAAUACGGGAUAUUCUGGGUCUGUCGCAUGAUGGGUCUGGGAAAGAUAUUGUUUCGGUGGGGGAUGGGCUCGCGGCCUAUCAGCUUGUUGGUGGGGUGAUGGCCUACCAAGGCGGUGACGGGUAGCCGGCCUGAGAGGGUGGACGGUCACACUGGGACUGAGACACGGCCCAGACUUCUACGGGAGGGAGCAGUGGGGAAUAUUGCACAAUGGGCGCAAGCCUGAUGCAGCGACGCCGCGUGAGGGAUGGAGGCCUGCGGGUUGUGAACCUCUUUCGCCAGUGAAGCAGGCCUGCCUCGUUUGUGGGUGGGUUGACGGUAGCUGGAUAAGAAGCGCCGGCUAACUACGUG
rnacentral:rRNA from 1 species